CAAGAGCGUAUGUAAAAGUUGUUGCAGUUAAAAAGCUCGUAGUUGAACCUUGGGUUUGGUUGGCCGGUCCGCUUUUUUGCGAGUACUGGAUUCAACCGAGCCUUUCCUUCUGGCUAACCAGUCGUUUCGGCGGCUGGCGAACCAGGAUUUUUACUUUGAGAAAAUCAGAGUGUUCAAAGCAGGCAUUAGCUUGAAUAUAUUAGCAUGGAAUAAUAGAAUAGGACGUUAUGGUUCUAUUUUGCUGGUUUCUAGGACCAUCGUAAUGAUUAAUAGGGACGGUCGGGGGCAUCAGUAUUCGGUUGUCAGAGGUGAAAUUCUUGGAUUACUGAAGACUAACUACUGCGAAAGCAUUUGCCAAGGACGUUUUCAUUAA
rnacentral:rRNA from 1 species